CGCUACUUAACCCAACAGAAAAUGGUGAAGAAAAUUCUUCGCGCAGAUCUGUACUAGUUGAGAUUGAUGAAGGAGAAGCCUCAAAUAACAAAGACAUUAAAGACAAUGCUGGUGAUAUUGGUUCAGGUGAGCUUGAAAACCCCAUUUCGAAAACAGAGGAAUCGUCAUCUUCUUUAUCUGAUAUGCCACAAAUGAAAAAGUGGUCGGUUCGCGUAAGGCAAGGAAAGGCUUAUGUAUAUGUUGCUGGAAAGCCCCUAGCAAAGACAGGCGUCGAGUAUCAUCAGUGCUGCCGCCGUGAAAAGUGAGGAUAAUAAGCCUCUCAAGGGAAUAUAUUACCAGGCAUGAACGAGGCUGUUGAAGCAUUUGUUGUCCUCCAUGCUUCGGUAUCUGGGCGAAUUCUGCCAGAACACUUCAACUUCGCGUUUGGCAAGGUCCCAAACUUCAUUUGUGUCAAUUCGGCAAAACAGAGAAUUUGAGACAUGUUUGCGGCUGGUAGAAAUGUUCAGUCACUCGGGUGACUGGAUAUUAGAUGUUAAUUUACCCGAAGCUGGCGGUGUUGCAGCAGUCACGAUCGAGCGCAAUUGCCUCAUUCUGGUAAAAACAGAAGAGGAGGAACGAGAGGCCAGGCGAAAGUUGAAAGAACUUUAGAACCUAUAAAUCUAUAUAUAUAUAUAAUAUAUAUUAUACAUCUUCAUUGUGUGCUGGGUAUUCCCGGCUCUACGUGGGAAAACAUAUCAUAAUGAAAAUUUAAUUAAGACAACUUACUUUUUAAAUUGUCAGAAUGUUCCUUUGCAAUUUACAAAAUAUACUUCUAAAUUGGUUUCACUUGACCAUUGCCCAUUCGACUUGCGUAGAGAAUAUAACCCGAAUAAUUGUA